rnacentral:rRNA from 1 species
GACAGAGGAGCCAAGCGUUGUCCGGACUGACUGGGCGUAAAGCGCCCGCAGGCGGCCGUGCACGUGGGGUGUGAAAGCUCGCGGCUUAACUGCGAGAGGCCAUCCCAUACGGCGCGGCUCGAGCCGUCCAGAGGCCGGUGGAAUUGCCGGUGUAGUGGUGAAAUGCGUAGAGAUCGGGAAGAACAUCAGUGGCGAAGGCGGCCUGCUGGGCUGUUGCUGACGCUGAGGCGCGACAGCGUGGGGAGCAAACAGG